CAGACAGACAGACAGACAGACUUUGGGGAUCAUGCGGUGAUCGUGCAGUGGGGAUCAUGUAGAAGAAGGCACUCUCUAAGAUAACUCGGACCCAAGCCAUUCAGGGCUUUAAAGGGAGUGCAUUCCAUAGCCCAGGAGCAACUACAGAGAAGGCCGGCCUCUGAGUCGCCACCAGACGAAGCGGUGGUAACUGGAGAUGGACCUCCUCAGAUGAUCUUAAUGUGAGAUGCCGUUGGGCUGGCACCGAUCCUUCCCUGGCAGGGAGCAGAGGACCCAGGGAGCUGAAAGGUUCCGAGACGGAAGAGUAUCCAGAGACUGUUUGUUCAUAAACACAGCUGGGCGCUUUGGUGAGCAACCUGCUUUCUGCCUGGGCUGGCUGGAUUCCUUCCACGCAGCCAUCCUGUGAGGAGGAAGAGGAGGGGGGAGGCAGGCAGGCAGGCAAUGCUGCCAUCACUGCAUCCCAUGCGCCAGAGAAAUAAUUAAACAGUUUUUCUUAA